rnacentral:rRNA from 1 species
GAUAAACGCUGGCGGCGCACAUAAGACAUGCAAGUCGAACGGACUUAACCAUUAGUUUACUAUUGGAGCGGUUAGUGGCGGACUGGUGAGUAACACGUAAGCAACCUGCCUAUCAGAGGGGAACAACAGUUAGAAAUGACUGCUAAUACCGCAUAUGCCUUAGCAACACAUGUUGCAAAAGGGAAAGGAGCAAUCCGCUGAUAGAUGGGCUUGCGUCUGAUUAGAUAGUUGGUGAGGUAACGGCCCACCAAGUCGACGAUCAGUAGCCGGACUGAGAGGUUGAACGGCCACAUUGGGACUGAGAUACGGCCCAG